AAAUUGAAGAGUUUGAUCAUGGCUCAGAUUGAACGCUGGCGGCAGGCCUAACACAUGCAAGUCGAACGGCAGCACAGAAGAGCUUGCUCUUUGGGUGGCGAGUGGCGGACGGGUGAGUAAUGUCUGGGGAUCUGCCCGGUAGAGGGGGAUAACCACUGGAAACGGUGGCUAAUACCGCAUAACGUCGCAAGACCAAAGAGGGGGACCUUCGGGCCUCUCACUAUCGGAUGAACCCAGAUGGGAUUAGCUAGUAGGUGGGGUAACGGCUCACCUAGGCGACGAUCCCUAGCUGGUCUGAGAGGAUGACCAGCCACACUGGAACUGAGACACGGUCCAGACUCCUACGGGAGGCAGCAGUGGGGAAUAUUGCACAAUGGGCGCAAGCCUGAUGCAGCCAUGCCGCGUGUAUGAAGAAGGCCUUCGGGUUGUAAAGUACUUUCAGCGGGGAGGAAGGGAUGAAGCUUAAUACGCUUCGUCAUUGACGUUACCCGCAGAAGAAGCACCGGCUAACUCCGUGCCAGCAGCCGCGGUAAUACGGAGGGUGCAAGCGUUAAUCGGAAUUACUGGGCGUAAAGCGCACGCAGGCGGUCUGUCAAGUCGGAUGUGAAAUCCCCGGGCUUAACCUGGGAACUGCAUUCGAAACUGGCAGGCUAGAGUCUUGUAGAGGGGGGUAGAAUUCCAGGUGUAGCGGUGAAAUGCGUAGAGAUCUGGAGGAAUACCGGUGGCGAAGGCGGCCCCCUGGACAAAGACUGACGCUCAGGUGCGAAAGCGUGGGGAGCAAACAGGAUUAGAUACCCUGGUAGUCCACGCCGUAAACGAUGUCGACUUGGAGGCUGUUCCCUUGAGGAGUGGCUUCCGGAGCUAACGCGUUAAGUCGACCGCCUGGGGAGUACGGCCGCAAGGUUAAAACUCAAAUGAAUUGACGGGGGCCCGCACAAGCGGUGGAGCAUGUGGUUUAAUUCGAUGCAACGCGAAGAACCUUACCUGGCCUUGACAUCCAGAGAACUUUCCAGAGAUGGAUUGGUGCCUUCGGGAACUCUGAGACAGGUGCUGCAUGGCUGUCGUCAGCUCGUGUUGUGAAAUGUUGGGUUAAGUCCCGCAACGAGCGCAACCCUUAUCCUUUGUUGCCAGCGAUUCGGUCGGGAACUCAAAGGAGACUGCCGGUGAUAAACCGGAGGAAGGUGGGGAUGACGUCAAGUCAUCAUGGCCCUUACGGCCAGGGCUACACACGUGCUACAAUGGCGCAUACAAAGAGAAGCGACCUCGCGAGAGCAAGCGGACCUCAUAAAGUGCGUCGUAGUCCGGAUCGGAGUCUGCAACUCGACUCCGUGAAGUCGGAAUCGCUAGUAAUCGUGGAUCAGAACGCCACGGUGAAUACGUUCCCGGGCCUUGUACACACCGCCCGUCACACCAUGGGAGUGGGUUGCAAAAGAAGUAGGUAGCUUAACCUUCGGGAGGGCGCUUACCACUUUGUGAUUCAUGACUGGGGUGAAGUCGUAACAAGGUAACCGUAGGGGAACCUGCGGUUGGAUCACCUCCUUA
rnacentral:rRNA from 1 species